UAGUCCACGCCGUAAACGAUGGAUACUAGCUGUUGGACGCAAGUUCAGUGGCUAAGCGAAAGUGAUAAGUAUCCCACCUGGGGAGUACGGUCGCAAGAUUGAAACUCAAAGGAAUUGACGGGGGCCCGCACAAGCGGUGGAGCAUGUGGUUUAAUUCGAUGAUACGCGAGGAACCUUACCAGGGCUUAAAUGUAGAGUGACAGGACUAGAGAUAGUUUUUUCUUCGGACACUUUACAAGGUGCUGCAUGGUUGUCGUCAGCUCGUGCCGUGAGGUGUCAGGUUAAGUCCUAUAACGAGCGCAACCCCUAUCGUUAGUUGCUAGCAGGUAAUGCUGAGGACUCUAGCGAGACUGCCGGUGCAAACCGUGAGGAAGGUGGGGAUGACGUCAAAUCAUCACGGCCCUUACGUCCUGGGCUACACACGUGCUACAAUGGUAGAUACAAUGAGCAGCUACCUGGCAACAGGAAGCGAAUCUAUAAAGUCUAUCUCAGUUCGG
rnacentral:rRNA from 1 species